rnacentral:rRNA from 1 species
CAUACGGCCCUGUAACACGUGGCUAACCUACCCUUGAGACGGAGACAACCCCGGGAAACUGGGGCUAAUCCCAGAUAGAUGAGAACCCCUGGAAUGGGUCCUCGUCCAAAAGGCAUCGAGAUCAUGCUUCUUGGUGUCGCUCAAGGAUGGGGCCGCGGCCGAUCAGGCUGUUGGUGAGGUAACGGCUCACCAAACCUAUAACCGGUACGGGCCGUGGGAGCGGGAGCCCGGAGAUGGGAACUGAGACAAGGUCCCAGGCCCUACGGGGCGCAGCAGUUGCGAAAACUCCGCAAUGCACGAAAGUGUGACGGGGCUACCCCGAGUGCUGUCCGCUGAGGAUGGCUUUUCCCCGGUGUAAGGAGCCGGGGGAAUAAGGAGAGGGCAAGUCUGGUGUCAGCCGCCGCGGUAAUACCAGCUCUCCGAGUGGUAGGGAUGCUUAUUGGGCUUAAAGCGUCCGUAGCUGGCCCUUCAAGUCUCUCGUUAAAUCCAGCGAUUCAAUCGUUGGACUGCGGGAGAUACUGUUAGGCUUGGGGGCGGGAGAAGCCGACGGUAUUUCCGGUGUAGGGGUAAAAUCCUAUAAUCCCGGGAGGACCACCAGUGGCGUAGGCGGUCGGCUAGCACGCGCCCGACGGUGAGGGACGAAAGCUGGGGGAGCAAACC